GAAGAGGGAGAGGAUGUAGAGGAGGAGGAGGAAGAAGAAAAGUGGAGGAGAAGCACAUGGCCUGGAGAAACCGCAAGUUCUAAGGGGUCUCAUAGAGGGCGUGUGCACAUGUGGGAAGCACAUUCCCCGAGCCGUCUCCCCGGCCAGCAUGGACUCCCCAGGAUGUCUGCUCCAAGGACGAAGGUGUAGGUGAGCAUCAUUUUAUGGUGACAGCUGUCAUCUGCUCUGGGACACUUGCGAGGGUCACCUUGGAGCUAUGCUUUGGGGGCAGUGUCGCCUCAGGUUGGAGUUUCCUUCUCUUUGUGUUUUAUACGGAGAUCUGCACAUCCCAUGGAGCUACACUGGUUUUCAUUAUCAGCCUGACACAAAGUCACCUUGGAAAAGUCUCAACUGAAGGACUGCCUCCAUCCAGAGAGGAAGAGCUCAUGAUUGCAGAAAAGGGAAGAGCGGAAGGGACAAUGGGUCCACACAAACCCCCACCCCACACAGGACACGGCCUUGCAAACCAGCACCCGUGCAGGGUGCAGCACACCCAGGAAACUCACUUCUGACAGAAGAGCUGCCCACAGUUCCUGCAAUGGUGCCUUCGCUCUGUGAGGGAGAAGCGCACGGAGCACCCCGAGCAGCUGUCACCGCCUUCAUCCUUCACCCAGUGGUCAGCGGCCGAACGGCCAGGCUGGUCACUCACGGACCAGCUGAACACUCGGCCUCGACUGUCACCCACGAGGAUCCUGCUGUGAUCCCUACGUAAGACACAAGAAGGCCUCUG
rnacentral:lncRNA from 1 species